AUGUUUUUAGCUUAUGAAAGCGUUAGCUUUGAAGGGGCUAAAGGUUUAAAACAUU
rnacentral:tRNA from 1 species